UGGGGAAUUUUGGACAAUGGGGGAAACCCUGAUCCAGCCAUCCCGCGUGUGCGAUGAAGGCCUUCGGGUUGUAAAGCACUUUUGGCAGGAAAGAAACGUCGCGGGUUAAUACCCCGCGAAACUGACGGUACCUGCAGAAUAAGCACCGGCUAACUACGUGCCAGCAGCCGCGGUAAUACGUAGGGUGCAAGCGUUAAUCGGAAUUACUGGGCGUAAAGCGUGCGCAGGCGGUUCGGAAAGAAAGAUGUGAAAUCCCAGAGCUUAACUUUGGAACUGCAUUUUUAACUACCGGGCUAGAGUGUGUCAGAGGGAGGUGGAAUUCCGCGUGUAGCAGUGAAAUGCGUAGAUAUGCGGAGGAACACCGAUGGCGAAGGCAGCCUCCUGGGAUAACACUGACGCUCAUGCACGAAAGCGUGGGGAGCAAACAGGAUUAGAUACCCCUGGUAGUCCACGCCCUAAACGAUGUCAACUAGCUGUUGGGGGCCUUUCGGGCCUUGGUAGCGCAGCUAACGCGUGAAGUUGACCGCCUGGGGAGUACGGUCGCAAGAUUAAAACUUAAAGGAAUUGA
rnacentral:rRNA from 1 species